GAUGAACGCUGGCGGCGUGCCUAAUACAUGCAAGUCGAGCGAACAGACGAGGAACUUGCUCCUCUGACGUUAGCGGCGGACGGGUGAGUAACACGUGGAUAACCUACAUAUAAGCCUGAGAUAACUUCGGGAAACCGGAGCUAAUACCGGAUAAUAUAUUGAACCGCAUGGUUCAAUAGUGAAAGACGGUUUUGCUGUCACUUAUAGAUGGAUCCGCGCCGCAUUAGCUAGUUGGUAAGGUAACGGCUUACCAAGGCAACGAUGCGUAGCCGAGCUGAGAGGGUGGUCGGCCACACUGGAACUGAGACACGGUCCAGACUCCUACGGGAGGCAGCAGUAGGGAAUCUUCCGCAAUGGGCGAAAGCCUGACGGAGCAACGCCGCGUGAGUGAUGAAGGUCUUCGGAUCGUAAAACUCUGUUAUUAGGGAAGAACAAAUGUGUAAGUAACUAUGCACGUCUUGACGGUACCUAAUCAGAAAGCCACGGCUAACUACGUG
rnacentral:rRNA from 1 species